UGCCUGUGUGUAGGUAGUAGGUUGUCAAUAUCCCGAAAUCCUCUGCUUCAUGUUAUUGUGUCAUCUUCGGCUGCUAUUUAGAGAACAAAACAAAACUCGUAAACAUCUAAAGAAUAUGGAUUUUAUCUUAUAAAAAAUACAAACUACAAAAAGGUUAUGGGUGGGGGUAGUUAGCGUGAUUUUUCUCGAUACUUUGUAUGAGUGUGUGUGAGUGGAACAGGGUUCUCAGUGAUAUAAAAUGUCAACCACGUCUGCUUCAAAGGGCGACUUCAACGUCGCUGGAAAAUAUCGUCUGGUACGCAAAAUAGGCAGUGGAUCAUUUGGAGAUAUCUAUCUGGCCAUAAAUAUUUCAAAUGGUGAAGAAGUUGCAGUAAAACUAGAGUCAACAAAAGCCAGACACCCACAGCUGUUAUAUGAAAGCAAGCUCUACAAGUUGUUAUCAGGGGGCGUAGGCAUUCCACAUAUAAGAUGGUUUGGUCAGGAGAAAGAUUACAAUGUUCUUGUCAUGGACUUGUUAGGACCCAGUUUGGAGGAUCUCUUCAAUUUUUGUGGUCGCAAGUUUACUAUGAAAACAGUUUUGAUGUUAGCAGAUCAGAUGAUUAACAGAAUUGAAUAUACACACAACAAAAACUUUAUCCACCGUGAUAUUAAACCAGACAAUUUUCUAAUGGGUAUUGGCAGACAUUGUAACAAGGUGUUCAUAAUAGAUUUUGGUCUUGCUAAGAAGUAUCGAGAUAAUAGAACUCGCCAGCAUAUCCCAUAUAGGGAAGACAAAAAUCUGACAGGAACAGCUCGUUAUGCCAGUAUCAAUGCUCAUUUAGGUAUUGAGCAGAGUCGGAGAGAUGAUAUGGAAUCUUUGGGUUAUGUUCUGAUGUAUUUCAACAGAGGACAGCUUCCUUGGCAGGGUCUUAAGGCAGCAACAAAAAAGCAAAAGUAUGAGCGAAUAAGUGAAAAGAAAAUGUCAACACCAGUGGAAGUUCUUUGCAAAGGAUUUCCUGCAGAGUUUGCCAUGUACCUAAAUUACUGCAGAGGAUUAAGAUUUGAAGAAGCACCAGAUUACAUGUACCUAAGGCAACUGUUUAGAAUCUUGUUCCGCACCUUGAAUCAUCAGUAUGAUUAUGUGUUUGACUGGACAAUGCUAAAACAGAAAGCUGCAGCAUCUUCGGCCUCGGGUGUUGCCAUGUCUUCAUUGGCUGCAAAUGCAAUGUCAGAUUUCCGACUUCCACUUCAGGUCCUUCGGCCUCCUGACUCAUUAUCUCCAGACUCACCAUCGCAUUACGUGUCCUUAAAUGAAGAAUUGUUAGAUGUAGGAGACUAAAGUAUACCUAUACAACUUACUAAAUCACUUAAUUUUAAAAGCAGCACCCAAGCAGGCAUGAAAUGAGGCUGUUAUUGAGAUCAAGUGACCAAUAGGCUUGGGUUGAAGUUCUGCUUUAGUUUGUCCACACACAAGUUGUACCUGUACAGAUAACACAUUGUUAGUUCAUUCCUACACACGUGUUACUUAAUUUCUAAUACUGUAUUUCUAAUUGUGUAAAUACUAUUUUUUUUUAUAUGACAAUAUGGAAAAAACUUUAUUAUAUAUAUAUAUAAUAAUGGGAAUUUGCUUGAACUUUUUUUUUUUGUUCAAAGUUUAGAAUUUUUGCUCUCUCUCUCAAUUUAAUUUCAGUAAUAUUUUUUUUUAAAAGCUAUUUCAUGGUCACCCUGUAUUUGUAGAGUUUGUUUAUUUUACAUGUUACACUCAUUAAUAAGGAUUAGCUUGAAGAUGUUGUUUUUUUUUUAUUCAAGGGUUGUGCUUAAUGAAAGUUGUUAACAAGUACAUGUUUUAAUCAUUUUGUUUUAGGCACUUUCUAUUAUUCCUAUCAUAUCAUCUGGUGUACUACAACAAGCCUUAUUCAAUCAAAAACUUUUGUCAUAACUAAAAUGGAGAGUAGCAAAAAUUAUUUACUUUUUUUUUCCUGAAAAAAUGUUUUAAUUAUUAAGCUUGUAAUGGACUUGUGUUCUGUAAAUCUCUACUAGUAAAAAGUAAUUCAACAGAUUUCUUACUAAAGUUACUCUAGUUAGAAGGAACUCUCUUUGAAUUGUACCCCUUUCCCACCAACUGGAUUCUGGGUGACUUGUAGGUAACGAAGUUUUGAAAAAUGAUUGUUAUCUCCUAUUCCUGCUAUGGAGUCUUCUUGUUUGUAAAAUACAGUAGUCUUUAUUCUUUUUUAAUGACAUUCACAAAUGUAGAUCUGUCUGUAAGGAAGAUAUUUACUAUAUUGUGUGUGUGUGUGUAAGUUUUAUUGUGAUCUUGGAAAAAAAAAAUACUGUAAAGAUAAUUUGCUUAAAUUAUCAAUACAAAAUUGCUUAUAUUUUUGUACUAACUUGUUAGGUCUUCAAGUUUGACAAUCAUAAACUCUAGUAUAAAUGUUGAAUGGCAUACCAUGUACAUUAUCAAGUAAAAGCACCUUGUAUACAGUUCUUCUUACUCUUUGGUGUUCUUUGAGUUAUCUUUAUUAACUCUAAAUGUCCAGUCUUCUUUUUCUUGCUUAAUUUUAGCUACUGUACUUGUUAUGGGAACAAGAUGGUAGUAUCAGGUGGAUGAUUGUUUUGCUGUGCAUAGUUUUUUCUAAUUAUUAUUACCUCAACCAAUCAAGUUCAUGCUUCCAUUCAAAGAAAAGAGGUACAGUUUUAUAACUAAAUAUUUACUUAAGAAACAAAAAAAAGCUUAUAUGUGAAGAUCUCUCACCCUGGUACUUGUGAAUUUGCCUUAAGCCCUAACAGUUUGAACCUAGUAUCAGCAUUGAACUAGCUUUACUCAACACAAAGUUGUUAUUGUUGUUCUGUAAAUACUACUUCCGAGAAAGUGAUGUACAGAGCCUUAACUAGUUGUUCUUUUCUGUUUUCAAUCUGUCUAUGAAUUCUGGUUUGGCUUUCACCUACACACUAUCAUUUUGUCUUCAUUUUGUACAUAGACUUUGAAUUACUCUUUGAGUUUUGUUUUUUAUCUUCCAAAUAUUUAGGCCAUUUACAGUUUUUUUUUUUUGUUUCUAUUUUUAAAAAUUAUUUUUAGACAUUUUUCAAUCUGUCUCUGACUUGUUAGAAGUGAUAAACUAACAUUUAUAUUUAUAUUAUUCUUCAUUUCUCUAUAUUAAUUUUCUAAAAAGAAUUUCACUCGUUUGUAUAAGUUGUAUGAAUUCUCAACUUUUUUUUUUUUGAUGUUCAAAAACCUGGCCAUUAUUUUUGUUGUUCUUUCUAACAUUACAAUUAGAUUGAUAGAAAUUGUGGGUGAAGUUUUCAUUGUAUUCAUUUUUUAAGAAAAUUAUGUGUGCAUGAUCUGAACUGAAUUAAAUCUGCAAUGAUUUUUCAAACACUUAUUCUUCUUUAAAUUAACUACUGCUCUUUCAUUUGAUUUAUCUGUGUCCAGUGAUAGCCAUCUCAGCUUUCUAAUGUUCCCUGACCUCAAAAAAUGCCACUAAAUAUUAACAUCAGUGAAUUUAAGCAUUAAGGUAUGCAUACGUGUAAACAAGUCAAGCUAAAGGCUGGUUUCUCAAAUUUGUAGCUUAAAAUAUGGGAUGCUUUGGCAGCUAAUGUUGACACAAUGUGAAGCAACUCUUUUGCAUGAUCUGAGGAUUUUGAUGUUAACUUAAAAGGAUCAUAUUCAUACUAGCGUACUUGAUUCUGUAUCUAACAUUUUGUAACACAGGAAGCAGAAGUCUAUAUCAUUUUAUUCAUUUAUGCCAAACAAAAAAAAAACAGAAAUAAGAAAAAAAAUUGCAAUAGAAAAUGUAUUUUGGUUUUAUUUUAUUGUUUUUAAAGCUUUUUUGUGGCCUAUGAUAGGUGAACAACUGAUCAAUUUAAUGUAUUAAAGAAAAAGUGGUUGAAUUUGUUAA